GACCUAGCGGCGGACGGGUGAGUAAUGCUUAGGAAUCUGCCUAUUAGUGGGGGACAACAUUCCGAAAGGAAUGCUAAUACCGCAUACGCCCUACGGGGGAAAGCAGGGGAUCUUCGGACCUUGCGCUAAUAGAUGAGCCUAAGUCAGAUUAGCUAGUUGGUGGGGUAAAGGCCUACCAAGGCGACGAUCUGUAGCGGGUCUGAGAGGAUGAUCCGCCACACUGGGACUGAGACACGGCCCAGACUCCUACGGGAGGCAGCAGUGGGGAAUAUUGGACAAUGGGCGAAAGCCUGAUCCAGCCAUGCCGCGUGUGUGAAGAAGGCCUUUUGGUUGUAAAGCACUUUAAGCGAGGAGGAGGCUACUUGGAUUAAUACUCUAGGAUAGUGGACGUUACUCGCAGAAUAAGCACCGGCUAACUCUGUGCCAGCAGCCGCGGUAAUACAGAGGGUGCGAGCGUUAAUCGGAUUUACUGGGCGUAAAGCGUGCGUAGGCGGCUUUUUAAGUCGGAUGUGAAAUCCCUGAGCUUAACUUAGGAAUUGCAUUCGAUACUGGGAAGCUAGAGUAUGGGAGAGGAUGGUAGAAUUCCAGGUGUAGCGGUGAAAUGCGUAGAGAUCUGGAGGAAUACCGAUGGCGAAGGCAGCCAUCUGGCCUAAUACUGACGCUGAGGUACGAAAGCAUGGGGAGCAAACAGGAUUAGAUACCCUGGUAGUCCAUGCCGUAAACGAUGUCUACUAGCCGUUGGGGCCUUUGAGGCUUUAGUGGCGCAGCUAACGCGAUAAGUAGACCGCCUGGGGAGUACGGUCGCAAGACUAAAACU
rnacentral:rRNA from 1 species